UCCCGUGAUCCUGAAGGGUGAGGGGAGCAUCGGAGCGGUCGUACUUCACGCUGGGGUUAACAACACCAUGCUACGGCAGACAUAGACACUGAAGAGGGACUUCAGGAGCCUGAUCAAGACGGUGCACAGCAUAUCGCCUGCAUGAUGAUAAUCGUGUCAGGACCACUUCCCACAUAUAGAUGAGGACAUGAAAGGCUUUUUAGAUCUCCUGUUGGACAACAUCUCCAGGACACUUCACUCCAUAUGACUAGUAAGCCAAUUCUCAAAUAACUGUUAUGAUGACUUUUGUUCUUCACGCUCAAAUAGAAGUUCUUGUGCUGUCCAGUCAAUAAAGAUUGUGUUUGUUCCAGUGUUAAUUUUGACAGGCAUUUUUGAUUUAGCAUUAGUCUAAACUCCACCAAACUACUGCUAUAAGCAUGAGCCCCGUCAGACUGGUCGUGGCGGGGGUGUUGCAACAAUAUAUAGUGAUAUUCUCAAUGUUACCCAGAAAACACGAUACAGGUUUAACUCAUUCAAAAUACUUCAGCUUAAUGUUAGACUGUCAGACAUGCAAAAGAAAUCUAAUGUAUCUCUUGCUCUGGCUACUAGGGGUGUGACGAGACACUUAUCCCACAAGAUGAGACGAGACACGAGACUGGGUUCAUGAGAGCGAGACAAGAUUUUUUUUUUGUUUUUAAGAAAUCCUCAAUGAUAAAAUAAAUAUUUCAUUUUUCUCUACUCCUUUUUCAUAGUACAUACAUUUUCACAUCAGUUUAUUAAACGUAAAAAAAAAAACAUAUUUAGGGCCCUAUGAAAUGUUUAAUUUUUUUCCCCAGCAUAUUAUUUUUUAUUAUUAUUGUUAACAAAUUCUGUAUUUUAGCAUGUCUAACUAUUUGAAUGCAUAACACAACUUAAUUUAUUCAUUUUAUUUUUUCUUAAAGGUAGCCUUACUGAUAUAGAUAUCAUAACCUCAAAGUGUUGUUACUGACCACUUCCUUGUAUCGUGCAUGCUGCAUAUAACUGAUAUUAACUAUAUUUCCAAAACAAGCAUUAUGAAUUUAAGAGCCUAACAUUACAUUUAUAACAAUCAUUGUUAAUGUUUGAAUUGUAUUUCAGGGCAGUUUGUGAAGACAGAUAAUCAAGAGAAGUCAGUUCCAGAUCCACCCUCCACACCAGACCUCUCUCUCUCUCACGAGGAUUGCUGUCUACAAGCAUAUUGUGUUCUCUUCAGACUUCGGGGGAUGCAGAUAUUACUCAGGCACACGAACACUUGAAUAUUGAAAGAAUGGAGAAAGUAAGAAUUACUUAAGAUUUUAGAAUUUAAUGUUAAUUGCUUAUAUAUAUAUAUAUAUAUAUAUAUAUAUAUAUAUAUAUAUAUAUAUAUAUAUAUAUAUAUUUAGAUAUAUUUUUGUGGCAGUGUGAACUGGCCAUAAUGCUGUAUGAUAGGUGUGAGAUUCAUUAAACUUGAUUUGCUAUAAUACAUCUGUUAAUAAGCUAUUACAUAUUAUUUUCAAUGAAUUAUUUGUUAUUUAUUAGCUGACGUAUUAUUGUGGGAGCUUGUGAUUAGUUGAUGAAUGUGUGCAUUGUUAAUGAUAAUAUUUAAAUGCAGUGUGCUGAGUGCUUACUAAGACAUGCAUGUUUGUGCAUAAUGUUUUGACCCUGGAUGCUUACAGAAGGGUAUAGAUAUUUAAAUAUAUGGAAAUGUAUUUAUUAUUAAUAUAUCUCAAUCUAUGUGCUUCUGUAUGGGCUGAAUGCUUUCAUUCAUAUUUCGCUGUAUAUCCUGUUUUUAUUAAUAAUCUGAGUGUAUUACUGUUCAUAUUUGCUUGUUAAUAAAUUAACUGAAUUAA